GUAACAAGGUCUCCGUUGGUGAACCAGCGGAGGGAUCAUUACAGAGUUACCAAAACUCCCAAACCCAUGUGAACAUACCUCGCGUUGCCUCGGCAGGUGGCGUCCUACCCCGUGAGACCUACCCUGUAGGACCUACCCGGUAGGCGACCCUGCCGACGGCCCCCGAAACUCUGUUUUUAUAGCAUUGGACUUCUGAAAAGAUAACUAAAUAAGUUAAAACUUUCAACAACGGAUCUCUUGGUUCUGGCAUCGAUGAAGAACGCAGCGAAAUGCGAUAAGUAAUGUGAAUUGCAGAAUUCAGUGAAUCAUCGAAUCUUUGAACGCACAUUGCGCCCACUAGUAUUCUGGUGGGCAUGCCUGUUCGAGCGUCAUUUCAACCCUUAAGCCCCUGUUGCUUAGCGUUAGGAGCCUACUGGAAACUCUCCUGUAGCUCCCCAAAGUCAGUGGCGGAGCCGGUUCGCACUCCAGACGUAGUAGCUUUUACACAUCGCCUGUAGCUUGGACCCGGUCCCUUGCCGUAAAACACCCCAAAUCUUAUAGGUUGACCUCGGAUCAGGUAGGAAUACCCGCUGAACUUAAGCAUAUC
rnacentral:rRNA from 1 species